rnacentral:rRNA from 1 species
GAUGAACGCUGGCGGCGUGCCAAAUACAUGCAAGUCGAGCGAACAGAUAAGGAGCUUGCUCCUUUGACGUUAGCGGCGGACGGGUGAGUAACACGUGGGUAACCUACCUAUAAGACUGGAAUAACUCCGGGAAACCGGGGCUAAUGCCGGAUAACAUGUUGAACCGCAUGGUUCUACAGUGAAAGGCGGCUUUGCUGUCACUUAUAGAUGGACCCGCGCCGUAUUAGCUAGUUGGUGAGGUAACGGCUCACCAAGGCAACGAUACGUAGCCGACCUGAGAGGGUGAUCGGCCACACUGGAACUGAGACACGGUCCAGACUCCUACGGGAGGCAGCAGUAGGGAAUCUUCCGCAAUGGGCGAAAGCCUGACGGAGCAACGCCGCGUGAGUGAUGAAGGUCUUCGGAUCGUAAAACUCUGUUAUUAGGGAAGAACAAAUGCGUAAGUAACUGUGCGCGUCUUGACGGUACCUAAUCAGAAAGCCACGGCUAACUACGUG